UGAAGUCGUAACAAGGUAGCCGUAUCGGAAGGUGCGGCUGGAUCACCUCCUUUCUAUGGAGAAUUGAUGAACGCUGUUCAUCAAUAUAAGUUUCCGUGUUUCGUUUUGUUCAGUUUUGAGAGAACUAUCUCUCAUAUAUAAAUGUAUGUUCUUUGAAAACUAGAUAACAGUGUAGCUCAUAUUUUUUUAAUUUUAGUUUGGUUAAGUUAGAAAGGGCGCACGGUGGAUGCCUU
rnacentral:misc_RNA from 1 species